CUUCACCAAUGACUAAAAAGUUCCUUUUUUCCCCUCUGUGAAUAACCACAUUAGUCCUUUUAUUGGUCAUGUGGAUUUUUAGGUUUUUAAGGUUUUUUUUCCCCAUGACGUCAGAUUCCUGAUGAUAACAGGUCUUCAUAUCUUUUGAAAAGGAUGAUUGUUUGAAAAUAUAACUGAAAUGCUUCCUUCAAUCCCCACUUCUACAUUUUUGUUCACAGGAACUAGGGUCCCAGAGGCUGAGUUCUGUCCCCUCACCUUUCCCUGGGGACUGUUAUAGACCUGGCUCCAGCUCUCUAUUUUCUACCAUAUCAUGCUAUUCCAGCGAAGAAACAUCACAGACUUUGAAACUGUUCUCUUCUCAGAAGAGCUCUCAUUAGUGGUCCCCUGGAGAGAAAAAGUGAUUUUAAAAAGUUACUAAUUUGGAAGCCACCUUGUGGUUUUGAAUACUAAAAUCUGGCCUAAGAUAACUACAGGAAACAUAUAUGAGUGCUGGAAGGGGCAGAGGCCCAGAAGCAACCUGAGGGGCCUGAGAACAGAAUUCUCCAAGGUUUGUUGGGGCUAGCUCACCAUUCAGGUGUGUAGACUGUACCUGCUCUGGAUAGCAUCACCAGCUCUGUCAGACAUUGGCCAUGCCCACUGAAGUCUCCUUGGGGACUCUACCCACAGCUCCCUGAAGACCUGGGAAGGGAGAAAGAACAAGCACAAAGAUUUCCAGUCUGUGAAGCAAAAGCAAGACACCGUCACCAGAAGGAACACCGUGACCCCUUGAAGCCAGCCAUGUAUGAUAGGCACAUGGGUGCAGGAAACCCUUCUUCCCACCUCCCUGAAUCCGGCCCUGGAGUUAGAAGCCAGCCUGACCUCCACCCAGCCCGGCCACCCAAAGAAUGCAGAACUUUAAAAAGUGAAAUGACUUACUUUCCAAACUGAGCUACAGAUUCAAUAUAAUCCACAUCAAAUGCCAAAAAUUUAUGUUUUAGAAACUGACAACCUGCUCUAUAUGGAAAUACAAAGGCCCAAGGACAGUAAGAUAUUAGUCAAGAACAAAAUUGGAGUUUCUAUACUAUCAGAUAUCAAGGUUUACUAUAAACACACAAUGAGGAUGAGAGGGUAUUUAUAAAAGAACAGAAAAACAGUGAAUGGAAUGAAUAAACAGUCCAG
rnacentral:lncRNA from 1 species